rnacentral:antisense_RNA from 3 species
CCUUAUGGCGGGCGGUGCGUGGGGCCUGGUGCCCACCGUUUUCGCGUUUGAGCGGUCUUUCAACCACGCAUCGCCUGCCGCCUUU